rnacentral:rRNA from 1 species
GAUGAACGCUGGCGGCGUGCUUAAUACAUGCAAGUCGAACGGUCAAGCGCCUACCUUUCUGGUCGGAGGUGAGGAGCGGAGAACGGGGUAGCAACACGUUAGUAACCCGCUCCCUCUUUCUGGACAACCGCAUGACAGUGUUGCUACCACGGGAUAUUCUGGGCCUGUUGGUUCAUGGGUCUGGGAAAGUCUUUGUUUCGCUGGGGGAUGGGCUCGCGGUCUAUCAGCUUGUUGGUGGGGUGAUGGCCUACCAAGGCGGUGACGCGUAGCCGGCCUGAGAGGGUGGACGAUCACACUGGGACUGAGACACGGAGAAGACUCCUACGGGAGGCAGCAGUGAGGAAUAGUGCACAAUGGGCGGAAGGCUGAUGCAGCGACGCGGCGGUGGUGAUGGACGUCUGAGGGUUGUAAACCUCUUUCAGCAGUGAAGCAAGCCUGCCGCGUUUGUGGGUAGGUUGACGGUAGCUGAAUAAGAAGCGCCGGCUAACUACGUG